UCAACUGAUCAGCUGUCUGGACUCCAAAAUAUCAGGAAAUAGUGGAAAAUGUUGAAGAAACCAGAAAAUAUUCACAUUUAAGAAGCUGCAAGCACCAAAUUUAGACAGAUUUUUAUUAAAAAGUUAAAUAAACUGAUUAUUAAAGUAGUUUGUACUUAAUUUAAUACCUGACAAUUAAAUCAAUUAAUGACUGGAAAUCUCUCUACUGGAGAAAAAAAUAAUCUGCUUAUUUGUUGUAAUAUGAUCCUGAUCAUUUCUCUGUUUUCAUUUGAUCAACUUUUCAACAAUAUUUUUCAUUUUGUCAACAAUUUUACACAUUUUAUUUAAACAUUUUCAGACAUUUUAAGUCAUAUUUUUAAGACAUUUUAUGAAGAAUUUGAACAUUUUAUGAAAAACUUAGACAUUUGGGCGAUAACGUGUGAGAUAAUGUGGAUCGGUGUGAUCAAAUGUCUUGUUUUGUCCAAACAUCUGCAGAAGAAAACAGAAAAUAUUCACAUUUAAGAAGCUGCAAGCACUGAAUUUAGACUGUUUUUUUAUAAACUAAUUAUUAAAGUAGUUUGCAUUUAAUUUGAUGCUUGACAAUUAAAUCAUUUAAUGGUUGGAAAUCUUAAUACUGGAGAAGAAGUAACCCGUUUAUUUGUUGUAAUAUGGCCCUGAUUAUUCUCUUUUUGACAUUUAAAUAAUAUUUUCCAUUUUGUCAGUGAUUUUACACACUAUAUUAAAACAUUUUCAGACAUUGUAAGUCAUAUUUUUGAGACAUUUUAUCAAGAAUUUUAAUAUUUUAGAUAUGAAAAAAUGGUGAAAAAUGUGGAUCAGGGUUUGAUCAAACGUCUUGUUUUGUCCAAAGAGAUUCAGUUUACUGUCACAGAGGAGGAAAGAAACCAGAAAAUAUUCACAUUUAAGGAGCUGAAAUCACAGAACUAAGAAUGUUUUUAGCAGAAAAUUCCUCAAAUUGAUUAAUCAUCAGAAUAGUUGAACUCAAGAUUUCUAUUAGUUACUGUAUUGUCAUUUUCUGUGCAGAAACGUCUAAAUUUGUGGCAUCAAGACGCUCAGAUUUGUAAAUUUGAUGCUUUUUUUGCCAUAAAGUGAAAAUCUUUUAGUACCAGCUGAUUAAUGGUUGCAGAUCUGCUGUCGUGUGUGAAAUGUGUGUUCAUUAUUUGUUUCUGGGUUUCAGUUUUUCACAAAAAUCACUCUUUGAGGACAGAAAGACAAACUUUAAUCGGACAUCAAAACUACAAGCUUCAUUCUCAACAGAAAACAUGAAGGAGGAGAAACAAACUUCUAACAAACAUCUCCGGAAACCUUCAAACCGAAAACAGCCGAAUUCUGCAGAACGAACGAUAAAUCUCCAACACAAGCCACUGCGUUUACUACCAAUAAUGAGAAUAAAAAAAGAAAGAAACGGCGUUAGAAAGAACAGAACGGGGAAAGAAAUGAGAGCUAAAGCCACACAGCUCCUGUCGUCGCUCCUCUAAAUCUUCUCGCUAACAUUCGAGGUCCCUGCCGAUGCUUUUAGUCAGAAGCUGCAGCGCUAGAAGUUUAUUAGAAUAUGUUUACGGCUCUAUUUAUCUCUCAGGCUUCUUCUAUUUAUUUACACAUUUUAGAUUCUAUGUACAGCGACAAGAAACAAACCAGCAGCUCCGACCGGCUUCUGUGCAACUUUACAAACUCUGACCAUCACAAACAAAACCGACUUCGAGAGGAAAGAAGAGCUAAGAAAAUGUGGAUUUAAGGGUCCAGUUUCUACACCGUGAACAAACUGCAACAGGUUUUCAGUAGUUUGGUCUAAAAAAUGUCAGAUUACUCAGCUUACUGUCAAAAAAAAUGAAAAAAACGGAAAAUAUUCACACUGAAGAAGCUGCGAUCACUGAAUUUAGACAGUUUUUAUAACGUUAAACACAAUAUAGUUGUCUAUUAUUUCAUUUAAUCAUUAACUGUUGCACCUUCUUCAUUAAUUUAUCACUUGUUUAAUGUAUGAAAUUUUGAUUAAAGCCCCAAAAAUAUUCCAUUUCCUGUAAUAGAAGAGGAAAAAUGAAGAAAAUAUUCACAAUCAAGAAGCUGCAAUCACGGAAUUUAGACCGUUUUUGUUAACACAAAAUAAUUGUCAAUUCAUUUAAUAAUUGACAACUAACCCUUGAAUCUUCUUGGUUUAUUUAUUAGUUUUUGAUAUAAAAGUGUCAAAAAAGUAGUGAAAAAUGCCGAUUAAAGCACAGAGGAGGAAAGAAACCAGAUGUUUACAUUUUAGAAGCUGAAAAAAUGGUAGACAGUAAAUGAAAUAUUUGACAAAUACUGGAUUUAUCCGCUAAAUGCUGCAUCUUCCAAUUAAUCGAGUAGUUGUUUGAUGAUUAAAUAAAAAUAAAAUGGUGAAAAAUCAUGUUUUAUCCAAAGAUCUUCAGUUUAAUUUAAUGGUUGAAAACUAAUCGAAGAAUGAAACCUUAAAAUGUCCUUAUAACUGCAUUUAUUACAUGCUUCUGAGUUGCUUAUUAAUAAAAAAAAUUGUGAGUUUUGUCUGCAAAAUGUCAGAAAAUCGUCUGAAGUUUCCGUCAGAAGUCAAAUCAGAGAAUCCUGCAGCCACAUAAUCGACCUAAAUGUUAAAUCGCUCGUCUAAAUUACUGCCGGUUGGUUUGACGAGCAGAGAAAAUGUAAAGUGUGAUCUCAGUUUGAGGUUUUUACUCCUGCAGAAACAUAAAUAUGAUCACUGCACUGAUGAAUUUCUGUCAGUUUAAAGCCAGAAACUAAAAGGAAAGACCAAAAUACUCAAAUCUGAGCAGCUGGAUGCCACAAAUUAAACAUUUUUGCUCAGAAAAUCAAUAAAAAAAGAAAAAUCUUUCAGGUCUAAUAUGACCCUCGAGCUUCUGCGUUCAUCAGAAACAUUUUUAUUUCACUAAUUAAUCAAUUAGUUGUUGAAUUUAAUAUGAAUCCACAAAUACUUUGAGAAUUUAUUCAUCCGUUUGAUGAACUUUCUAAUAAAAACUGUAAAUUCUGUGAUAUUUUCUGUUUUCUUUCCUGUUCUGUGACGGCAAACUGAAGAUCUUUGGACAAAACAAGACAUUUUUUAUCACAUUUUUUAUCAUUUUAGACCAAACGGCCGAUCGACUCAUCCAACAAAAUAACCGUUGGCUGCAGCCUGAACACGGUGAUUAACUCUUUAAUAAACGACAUAGAAUAAAUGUAGUUUUUAAGUCUUAUAAUUGCAUCACUGUCCACAGGAAGAGUCACAGCCAUUCAUACAUUAUUAGGAACUUUCAUCUAUAUUAUAAAUCAUCUAUUUUGUAUUUAGAGAUUUAAAUGAUGAUGAUAAAAGGCUAAAGGUGAAUCUGCAGCGCUGAUGUACCCUUUAAAGAAAAGAAACGACUGAAAAGUAGAAGGAAAAAAACAUCCAAAAAUAACCAAUACCUGUCGUGACGGAGACUCGUGGAAGCACCUGGUCGGAUUCAAACAUCCUCAAACUGCUCGGAAAUUCAGUUUCUUCUUAAAACGAUGAAAAUGACACGUUAACCGUUAACAUAGCUGGAGACCAACAGAAGAGUUCACCGUGAAAAAAGGAAAAUACUUUAACUGGACUUUAACAGCACCGACGGCUCUAAAGGGUUUGAACUCGACAGUCUGGUUCAGAGACACGUCGGCGGGAUUCGAACUGGCCACAGUCCGACUGCUACAGGGCUGGAAACGAAGAGGGAACCGAAGAGAAAAUAAAGUCUUAAUCCACCAGUGAUGCUGUGGGUCACCUGCAAAGUCCGUUCACCUGUCUGUCCGUUAGUCCCGCCCUCCCUCGCCGGCGUUGGUUGCCGGUGGCGACUACGACUCCUCACCGACCCUCCCACCCCGCUCCUGCCAACACA
ensembl:lncRNA